rnacentral:rRNA from 1 species
UACGAAGGGGGCUAGCGUUGUUCGGAAUCACUGGGCGUAAAGCGCACGUAGGCGGAUUCUUAAGUCAGGGGUGAAAUUCCGGGGCUCAACCUCGGAACUGCCUUUGAUACUGGGGAUCUUGAGUCCGGGAGAGGUGAGUGGAACUGCGAGUGUAGAGGUGAAAUUCGUAGAUAUUCGCAAGAACACCAGUGGCGAAGGCGGCUCACUGGCCCGGAACUGACGCUGAGGUGCGAAAGCGUGGGGAGCAAACAGG